rnacentral:rRNA from 1 species
UACGGGGGGGGCAAGCGUUGUUCGGAAUUACUGGGCGUAAAGGGCUCGUAGGCGGCCAACUAAGUCAGACGUGAAAUCCCUCGGCUUAACCGGGGAACUGCGUCUGAUACUGGAUGGCUAGAGGUUGGGAGAGGGAUGCGGAAUUCCAGGUGUAGCGGUGAAAUGCGCAGAUAUCAGGAGGAACACCGGUGGCGAAGGCGGGUCUCUGGGCCGAAAUUGACGCUGAGGAGCGAAAGCGUGGGGAGCAAACAGG